AUUAUAAUCUUGACACUGCUCAGAGAGUCACAAUAUCAUCAACUAAGACACGAAAGAUAAAAAUAUAAUGCCUAAAUUCAAUUCGAAUUCGUACCUUUAUAUCACAACAAGAACAGCUGAGAAGAAGUUACGCUUUAGAGUUUCUUUUAGGUGAGAAUCAGAAAAUCUCGACUUGAGCUAAGAAGAAUAAAAGGAAGAAGAUGAGAACGACGUAGUUUUAGGAAACCCGUUUAAGGCUAUUAGACCCCCUCCAUCGGGAGGUUUUAGUUAGGGUUCCUUAAAAAAAACAAAAAAUAAAUAAAUGAAAAAAUACAGAAAAGAAGAGAACCGGUACUAAACACAGCACUUUAAGAAUUGGUAAGGACCCCAUAUGUGUCUAUUUCUUAUUGGGUGAUGCCUUUUAGGCAAUAAGGAAGAAAACAAUUUUUGUCUUUCUUCGUCGAUGUUUCUGAAGUUUUUGUGCAAGAAAAAAUCGAAUCGUUUGUGGAGAGAGAGAAGAGACGAUUGGAUCAAAGUGAAAAGAAGAAGAUUUGAUUUGUAUCCGAAGGGGUUUACAGCAGCGACAGGUGCGCGAGCAAGUACGGUCGGCGGCGGAACGAGAUUAUGAUUCGUUUUCCGUUAAGCCAUUCAACGGAAACUACGACGAGGAACUUGGUGUCUUCAUCAACUCCUUCGUUACCGACGAAGGCACAUCUCAAGAACAGCUUCUCUUCUCCUUCCUCUUUGAUGCUAUUGAGAGUGUUCGUGAUUGUAAGAGACUUUAUGUCUGUUUUUUGUUCAAAGCUUGGUGUCAGGGCUAAUAAGAAGAAGAGAGUCGGUCCGGUUCCGGGAGUGCAAGUAGGAUGGUUGCAGAGCAUGUUUCCACAAAGUCCGCAUCUCUUCAAACAAAUGUUUAUGGUCUCUGGUUUUGACAAAUAUUACCGGAUAGUAAGGUACAUAUACGAUCUUUGGCCAAGUAAAGUGUAUAAUCUCAAAUGGAUUUAAUUACUUUUAAUUAACAUGAAAAGCUAGGAAGAUUAACAUAGUUUGAGAGUUGUAGUUUACAGACCAAAAUGUUACUUCAAUGUUUGUGUUUCUUUCAUCUUUGUUUUAAAAAAAAAAUUAUUUAAGAACCCCAUAGGGGUUCUCCCAUUGAAGGAGAAAAAAAUUACUUCCACUAACUAAGUUGUAAACUUGUCAAAUCAUUUUAUUUACUUUUAA